AGAGUUCGAUCCUGGCUCAGGACNAANGCUGGCGGCGUGCUUAACACAUGCAAGUCGAACGGUGACGCCGGUGCUUGCACCGGUUGAUCAGUGGCGAACGGGUGAGUAACACGUGAGCAACCUGCCCCCGACUCUGGAAUAACCCCGGGAAACCGGAGCUAAUACCGGAUACGAGACGCACAGGCAUCUGUAGCGUCUGGAAAGAAUUUCGGUUGGGGAUGGGCUCACGGCCUAUCAGCUUGUUGGUGGGGUAACGGCCCACCAAGGCGACGACGGGUAGCCGGCCUGAGAGGGCGACCGGCCACACUGGGACUGAGACACGGCCCAGACUCCUACGGGAGGCAGCAGUGGGGAAUAUUGCACAAUGGGCGCAAGCCUGAUGCAGCGACGCCGCGUGAGGGAUGACGGCCUUCGGGUUGUAAACCUCUUUCAGCAGGGAAGAAGCGAAAGUGACGGUACCUGCAGAAGAAGCGCCGGCUAACUACGUGCCAGCCGCCGCGGUAAUAC
rnacentral:rRNA from 1 species